ACCCAGACUCCUACGGGAGGCAGCAGUGGGGAAUAUUGCACAAUGGGGGAAACCCUGAUGCAGCGACGCCGCGUGAGCGAUGAAGUAUUUCGGUAUGUAAAGCUCUAUCAGCAGGGAAGAAGAUGACGGUACCUGACUAAGAAGCCCCGGCUAACUACGUGCCAGCAGCCGCGGUAAUACGUAGGGGGCAAGCGUUAUCCGGAUUUACUGGGUGUAAAGGGAGCGUAGACGGCGAUGCAAGCCAGAUGUGAAAGCCCGGGGCUCAACCCCGGGACUGCAUUUGGAACUGUGUGGCUGGAGUGUCGGAGAGGCAGGCGGAAUUCCUAGUGUAGCGGUGAAAUGCGUAGAUAUUAGGAGGAACACCAGUGGCGAAGGCGGCCUGCUGGACGAUGACUGACGUUGAGGCUCGAAAGCGUGGGGAGCAAACAGGAUUAGAUACCCUAGUAGC
rnacentral:rRNA from 1 species